UACGGGGGGGGCAAGCGUUGUUCGGAAUUACUGGGCGUAAAGGGCUCGUAGGUGGCCAACUAAGUCGGAUGUGAAAUCCCUCAGCUUAACUGGGGAACUGCGUCCGAUACUGGAUGGCUCGAGUUUGGGAGAGGGAUGCGGAAUUCCAGGUGUAGCGGUGAAAUGCGUAGAUAUCUGGAGGAACACCGGUGGCGAAGGCGGCAUCCUGGACCAACACUGACACUGAGGAGCGAAAGCCAGGGGAGCAAACGGG
rnacentral:rRNA from 1 species